rnacentral:rRNA from 1 species
CCUACGGGAGGCAGCAGUGGGGAAUAUUGGGCAAUGGGCGCAAGCCUGACCCAGCAACGCCGCGUGAAGGAAGAAGGCUUUCGGGUUGUAAACCUCUUUUGCCGGGGAGCAACGGGCGUCACGUGUGGCGCCACUGCAAGUACCCGGAGAAAAAGCAUCGGCUAACUCCGUGCCAGCAGCCGCGGUAAUACGGAGGAUGCGAGCGUUAUCCGGUUUUAUUGGGUUUAAAGGGUGCGUAGGCGGAUCGUUAAAUCAGUGGUCAAAUUGAGGGGCCAAACCCCUUCCCGCCAUUGAAACUGGCGUUCUUGAGUGGAAGAGAAGCAUGCGGAAUGCGUGGUGUAGCGGUGAAAUGCAUAGAUAUCACGCAGAACCCCGAUUGCGAAGGCAGCAUGCCGGCUUCCGACUGACGCUGAAGCACGAAAGCGUGGGGAUCGAACAGGAUUAGAUACCCGAGUAGUC